rnacentral:tRNA from 1 species
CAAGAUGUAGCUAAACAUAAAGCAUUCAGCUUACGCCUGAAAGAUAUCUACCAUCUAUCGGAUCAUCUUGA